AGCAGCCGCGGUAAUUCCAGCUCCAAUAGCGUAUAUUAAAGUUGUUGCAGUUAAAAAGCUCGUAGUUGAAUUUCGGGACCAAAUUGUCGGUCGUGCCUCGGUACGUACUGGCGUUAUUGGUUCCUCCCUUCUGAAGAACCAUGAUGUCAUUUAUUUGGUGUUGUGGGGAAUCAGGACUGUUACUUUGAAAAAAUUAGAGUGUUUAAAGCAGGCUCACGCUUGAAUACAUUAGCAUGGAAUAAUGAAAUAGGACGUUCGAUCCUAUUUUGUUGGUUUCUAGGAUUGACGUAAUGAUUAAUAGGGAUAGUUGGGGGCAUUAGUAUUCAAUUGUCAGAGGUGAAAUUCUUGGAUUUAUUGAAGACUAACUACUGCGAAAGCAUUUGCCAAGGAUGUUUUCAUUAAUCAAGAACGAAAGUUAGGGGAUCGAAGACGAUCAGAUACCGUCGUAGUCUUAACCAUAAACUAUGCCGACUAGGGAUCGGAUGAUGUUAAUUUUUAAUGACUCAUUCGGCGCCUUACG
rnacentral:rRNA from 1 species